AAGUCGUAACAAGGUCUCCGUUGGUGAACCAGCGGAGGGAUCAUUACCGAGUUUACAACUCCCAAACCCCUGUGAACAUACCUAUAACGUUGCCUCGGCGGACCCCCGCUUCCCCGUAAAACGGGACGGCCCGCCAGAGGACCCAACAAACCCUGUUAUUCUUAGUAUCUUCUGAGUAAAAACACAAUCAAUUAAAACUUUCAACAACGGAUCUCUUGGUUCUG
rnacentral:misc_RNA from 1 species